CAAAAUGGUCUAUUCAGUUGAUGUGGCACUUACGGACAAUUUACAGGAUAGCGUGAAUACUAGCAAUCAUCCAUGAGGUCUUGGUAAUGUCACAUUCCUAUGCCUACUGGAACAAAUCUCUCCCAGUGGAUCCUCCACAGAUAAUGACUUCUGGAAAUGGAAGGAAAGUUUAAAAUCAGAUCAUGGAGAAACUCAACAAUGAACCAUCCGCAGUUGUUUUGAGCCCCUCCAUUCGAUAUCACGGUCACCAUCUGCAGUCAGAGCUACCUAAGGUGGAAAAUCGGUCCUGAUUAUAUGAUGAAUACCCACUAUCUACUCGUUCUUCUGUCUGUGUUGCAUUUGCUGCUAUGGAAUCCGAAGCAUCUCUCCGGGCAUUCAGUUCAUGUUCUUCUUGCUUUUUAAGGCAAGAAACAGCUGAAUGCUGAGUUAUGGAGACCUUCACCUAUUACGAAUAGAACAGACAGGAUUGAGCCC